AAUACAUGCAAGUCGAGCGGUCUCUUUCGGGAGACAGCGGCGGACGGGUUAGUAACGCGUGGGAACGUGCCCUUUAGUACGGAAUAGCCAUUGGAAACGAUGAUUAAUACCGUAUACGCCCUAUGGGGGAAAGAUUUAUCGCUAAAGGAUCGGCCCGCGUUAGAUUAGGUUGUUGGUGGGGUAAUGGCCUACCAAGCCUACGAUCUAUAGCUGGUUUGAGAGGAUGAUCAGCAACACUGGGACUGAGACACGGCCCAGACUUCUACGGAAGGCAGCAGUAGGGAAUCUUGGACAAUGGGCGAAAGCCUGAUCCAGCCAUGCCGCGUGAGUGAUGAAGGCCCUAGGGUUGUAAAACUCUUUCGCCAGGGAAGA
rnacentral:rRNA from 1 species